GACGAACGCUGGCGGCGUGCUUAACACAUGCAAGUCGAACGGAAAGGCCCUGCUUUUGUGGGGUGCUCGAGUGGCGAGCGGGUGAGUAACACGUGAGUAACCUGCCCUUGACUUUGGGAUAACUUCAGGAAACUGGGGCUAAUACCGGAUAGGAGCUCCUGCUGCAUGGUGGGGGAUGGAAAGUUUCGGCGGUUGGGGAUGGACUCGCGGCUUAUCAGCUUGUUGGUGGGGUAGUGGCUUACCAAGGCUUUGACGGGUAGCCGGCCUGAGAGGGUGACCGGCCACAUUGGGACUGAGAUACGGCCCCGACUCCUACGGGAGGCAGCAGUGGGGAAUAUUGCACAAUGGGCGGAAGCCUGAUGCAGCAACGCCGCGUGCGGGAUGACGGCCUUCGGGUUGUAAACCGCUUUCGCCUGUGACGAAGCGUGAGUGACGGUAAUGGGUAAAGAAGCACCGGCUAACUACGUG
rnacentral:rRNA from 1 species